rnacentral:rRNA from 1 species
AAUGGACGGAAGUCUGAUCCAGCCAUGCCGCGUGAAGGAAGAAGGCGCUCAGCGUUGUAAACUUCUUUUGGAUGGGAAUAAUAAUGUCGACGCGUUCGGCACUUGAAGGUACCAUCAGAAUAAGCACCGGCUAACUCCGUGCCAGCAGCCGCGGUAAUACGUAGGGUGCGAGCGUUAAUCGGGAUUACUGGGCGUAAAGCGUACGCAGGCGGUUUGGUAAGACAGGCGUGAAAUCCCCGGGCUUAACCUGGGAACUGCGCUUGUGACUGCCAGGCUAGAGUACGGCAGAGGGGGGUGGAAUUCCACGUGUAGCAGUGAAAUGCGUAGAGAUGUGGAGGAACACCAAUGGCGAAGGCAGCCCCCUGGGUCGAUACUGACGCUCAUGCACGAAAGCGUGGGUAGCAAA